rnacentral:rRNA from 1 species
AGCAGCCGCGGUAAUUCCAGCUCCAAUAGCGUAUAUUAAGGUUGUUGCAGUUAAAAAGCUCGUAGUUGAAUUUCGGGGUUAGUAGAUUGGUCGUGCCAUCGGUAUGCACUGGUCUUACUGAUUCCUCCUUCCUGAUGAACCGUAAUGCCAUUAAUUUGGUGUUGCGGGGAAACUGGACUGUUACUUUGAAAAAAUUAGAGUGUUUAAAGCAAGCUAACGCUUGAAUACAUUAGCAUGGAAUAAUGAAAUAGGACGUUCGAUCCUAUUUUGUUGGUUUCUAGGAUUGACGUAAUGAUUAAUAGGGAUAGUUGGGGGCAUUAGUAUUCAAUUGUCAGAGGUGAAAUUCUUGGAUUUAUUGAAGACUAACUACUGCGAAAGCAUUUGCCAAGGAUGUUUUCAUUAAUCAAGAACGAAAGUUAGGGGAUCGAAGACGAUCAGAUACCGUCGUAGUCUUAACCAUAAACUAUGCCGACUAGGGAUCGGAUGAUGUUAAUUUUAUAAUGACUCAUUCGGCGCCUUA